rnacentral:rRNA from 1 species
GACGAACGCUGGCGGCGUGCUUAACACAUGCAAGUCGAACGAAGUGGCGGACGGGUGAGUAACGCGUAAUCAACCUGCCCUUCAGAGGGGGACAAGAGUAGGAAACGUCUGAUAAUACGGCAAACGGAAGGAGGGGACUGCGUGUGAUUGGCUGGUGGGUGGGGUAACGGCCCACAAAGUCGCUGAUCAGUAGCCGGUCUGAGAGGAUGACCGGCCACACUGGGACGGAGACACGGCCCAGACUCCUACGGGAGGCAGCAGUGGGAAUCUUCCGCCAUGGAACAAAGUCCGGCGGUGCCACGGCGCGGUGGUGAUGACAGCCUUCCGGUUGUAAAGCUCCGUUCAUCGGGGCGCGGUACCGGAAUAGAAAGCCACGGCUAACUACGUGCCAGCAGCCGCGGUAAUUC